AGAUUGAACGCUGGCGGCAUGCCUUACACAUGCAAGUCGAACGGCAGCACGGGAGCAAUCCUGGUGGCGAGUGGCGAACGGGUGAGUAAUACAUCGGAACGUGCCUAGUAGUGGGGGAUAGCCCGGCGAAAGCCGGAUUAAUACCGCAUACGACCUACGGGUGAAAGCGGGGGAUCGCAAGACCUCGCGCUAUUGGAGCGGCUGAUGUCAGAUUAGGUAGUUGGUAGGGUAAAAGCCUACCAAGCCGACGAUCUGUAGCUGGUCUGAGAGGACGACCAGCCACACUGGGACUGAGACACGGCCCAGACUCCUACGGGAGCAGCAGUGGGAAUUUUGGACAAGUGGGCGACAAGCCUGACUCCAGCCAUGCCGCGUGCGGGAAGAAGGCCUUCGGUUGUAAACCGUCUUUUGCGAAGGAAGAACGCACGUGGACCUAAUA
rnacentral:rRNA from 1 species